UACGAAGGGUGCAAGCGUUACUCGGAAUUACUGGGCGUAAAGCGUGCGUAGGUGGUUUGUUAAGUCUGAUGUGAAAGCCCUGGGCUCAACCUGGGAACGGCAUUGGAAACUGGCUUACUAGAGUGCGGUAGAGGGUGUGGGAAUUCCCGGUGUAGCAGUGAAAUGCGUAGAGUAUCGGGAGGAACAUCUGUGGCGAAGGCGACACCCUGGACCAGCACUGACACUGAGGCACGAAAGCGUGGGGAGCAA
rnacentral:rRNA from 1 species